rnacentral:rRNA from 1 species
AGAGUUUGAUCCUGGCUCAGGACGAACGCUGGCGGCGCGCCUAACACAUGCAAGUCGAACGAGCGAGAGAGAGCUUGCUUUCUCAAGCGAGUGGCGAACGGGUGAGUAACGCGUGAGGAACCUGCCUCAAAGAGGGGGACAACAGUUGGAAACGACUGCUAAUACCGCAUAAGCCCACAGCUCGGCAUCGAGCAGAGGGAAAAGGAGCGAUCCGCUUUGAGAUGGCCUCGCGUCCGAUUAGCUAGUUGGUGAGGUAACGGCCCACCAAGGCGACGAUCGGUAGCCGGACUGAGAGGUUGAACGGCCACAUUGGGACUGAGACACGGCCCAGACUCCUACGGGAGGCAGCAGUGGGGAAUAUUGCACAAUGGGGGAAACCCUGAUGCAGCGACGCCGCGUGGAGGAAGAAGGUCUUCGGAUUGUAAACUCCUGUUGUUGAGGAAGAUAAUGACGGUACUCAACAAGGAAGUGACGGCUAACUACGUGCCAGCAGCCGCGGUAAAACGUAGGUCACAAGCGUUGUCCGGAAUUACUGGGUGUAAAGGGAGCGCAGGCGGGAAGGCAAGUUGGAAGUGAAAUCCAUGGGCUCAACCCAUGAACUGCUUUCAAAACUGUUUUUCUUGAGUAGUGCAGAGGUAGGCGGAAUUCCCGGUGUAGCGGUGGAAUGCGUAGAUAUCGGGAGGAACACCAGUGGCGAAGGCGGCCUACUGGGCACCAACUGACGCUGAGGCUCGAAAGUGUGGGUAGCAAACAGGAUUAGAUACCCUGGUAGUCCACACUGUAAACGAUGAUUACUAGGUGUUGGAGGAUUGACCCCUUCAGUGCCGCAGUUAACACAAUAAGUAAUCCACCUGGGGAGUACGACCGCAAGGUUGAAACUCAAAGGAAUUGACGGGGGCCCGCACAAGCAGUGGAGUAUGUGGUUUAAUUCGACGCAACGCGAAGAACCUUACCAAGUCUUGACAUCCUGCGACGCACAUAGAAAUAUGUGUUUCCUUCGGGACGCAGAGACAGGUGGUGCAUGGUUGUCGUCAGCUCGUGUCGUGAGAUGUUGGGUUAAGUCCCGCAACGAGCGCAACCCUUAUGGUCAGUUACUACGCAAGAGGACUCUGGCCAGACUGCCGUUGACAAAACGGAGGAAGGUGGGGAUGACGUCAAAUCAUCAUGCCCUUUAUGACUUGGGCUACACACGUACUACAAUGGCGUUAAACAAAGAGAAGCAAGACCGCGAGGUGGAGCAAAACUCAGAAACAACGUCCCAGUUCGGACUGCAGGCUGCAACUCGCCUGCACGAAGUCGGAAUUGCUAGUAAUCGCAGAUCAGCAUGCUGCGGUGAAUACGUUCC